rnacentral:rRNA from 1 species
AGGACGAACGCUGGCGGCGUGCUUAACACAUGCAAGUCGAGCGGACAGGCCCUUCGGGGUACUCGAGCGGCGAACGGGUGAGUAACACGUGAGCAACCUGCCCUUAGCUCCGGGAUAGCUCCGGGAAACCGGAAUUAAUACCGGAUAUGACCUAGGCCGACAUCGGCUGUGGUGGAAAGUUUUUCGGCUGGGGAUGGACUCGCGGCCUAUCAGCUUGUUGGUGGGGUAAUGGCCUACCAAGGCGACGACGGGUA